rnacentral:lncRNA from 1 species
CACUUUUAAACUUUCAAACUUAUUUACAAUGACUGUGUGUAAACUUUAUUUGUUUUUACCUUCUUGAAGUCACAAUUAUAGCAUGACUGGGAACCACACUAGUGGAUCUCGAGGGGUGCCUAACACCUUCCCAUUGGGAUAAUCUCUAAGCCCUUACUCGAGGUUUGGUUUUCUUCUUCUCAAAAUGUUCAUCUCUUUAUAGUGCAAAGGCAUAUGCACUAUAAUCAUUAGGUGGCAAACUCUCCAAAUUCAAAACCCAAUUCUUACAAGAAUAAAGAGUUGUCC